CACGUAGGGCGCAAGCGUUGUCCGGAAUUAUUGGGCGUAAAGAGCUCGUAGGCGGACUGUCACGUCCGCUGUGAAAAGCUAGGGCUUAACCCUGGCCUUGCAGUGGAUACGGGCAGACUAGAGGUAGGUAGGGGAGAAUGGAAUUCCCGGUGUAGCGGUGAAAUGCGCAGAUAUCGGGAGGAACACCGGUGGCGAAGGCGGUUCUCUGGGCCGUACCUGACGCUGAGGAGCGAAAGCGUGGGGAGCGAACAGG
rnacentral:rRNA from 1 species